GGUUGAUCCCGCCGGACCUGACUGCUAUCGGAUUGAUACUAAGCCAUGCGAGUCUUUGCAGUAAUGCAAGGCAUACGGCUCAGUAACACGUAGUCAACUUACCCUAUGGACGAGGAUAAUCUCGGGAAACUGAGCAUAAUACUCGAUAGAUCAUAAUGCCUGGAAUGGUUUAUGGUUGAAAUGAUUCGUCGCCAUAGGAUGGGACUGCGGCCUAUCAGCUUGUUGGUGAGGUAAUGGCCCACCAAGGCGAUUACAGGUACGGGCUCUGAGAGGAGAAGCCCGGAGAUGGGUACUGAGACAAGGACCCAGGCCCUAUGGGGCGCAGCAGGCGAGAAAACUUUGCAAUGUGCGAAAGCACGACAAGGUUAAUCCGAGUGAUUUCUGCUAAAGAAAUCUUUUGCAAGUCAUAAAACCACUAGUGAAUAAGGGGUGGGCAAGUUCUGGUGUCAGCCGCCGCGGUAAAACCAGCACCUCAAGUGGUCAGGAGGAUUAUUGGGCCUAAAGCAUCCGUAGCCGGCUCUGUAAGUUUUCGGUUAAAUCCAUGUGCUCAACGCAUGGGCUGCCGAAAAUACUGCAUAGCUAGGGAGUGGGAGAGGUAGACGGUACUCGGUAGGAAGGGGUAAAAUCCUUUGAUCUAUCGAUGACCACCUGUGGCGAAGGCGGUCUACCAGAACACGUUCGACGGUGAGGGAUGAAAGCUGGGGGAGCAAACCGGAUUAGAUACCCGGGUAGUCCCAGCUGUAAACGAUGCAGACUCGAUGAUGCAUUGGCAUAUAGCCAGUGCAGUGUCGCAGGAAGCCGUUAAGUCUGCCGCCUGGGAAGUACGUACGCAAGUAUGAAACUUAAAGGAAUUGGCGGGGGAGCACCACAAGGGGUGAAGCCUGCGGUUCAAUUGGAUUCAACGCCGGG
rnacentral:rRNA from 1 species